CCAGACUCCUACGGGAGGCAGCAGUGAGGAAUAUUGGUCAAUGGUCGGGAGACUGAACCAGCCAAGCCGCGUGAGGGAGGAAGGUACAGAGUAUCGUAAACCUCUUUUGUCAGGGAACAAAGACUGGGACGCGUCCCCGGAUGAGUGUACCUGAAGAAAAAGCAUCGGCUAACUCCGUGCCAGCAGCCGCGGUAAUACGGAGGAUGCGAGCGUUAUCCGGAUUUAUUGGGUUUAAAGGGUGCGCGGGCGGUCUGUUAAGUCAGCGGUCAAAGCCCGGGGCUCAACCCCGGGACUGCAUUUGAAACUGCCGUGCUGGAGUGUCGGAGAGGCAAGUGGAAUUCCUAGUGUAGCGGUGAAAUGCGUAGAUAUUAGGAGGAACACCAGUGGCGAAGGCGGCUUGCUGGACGAUAACUGACGCUGAGGCUCGAAAGCGUGGGGAGCAAACAGGAUUAGAUACCCCGGUACA
rnacentral:rRNA from 1 species